GGCCUCAUAGUAUAGUGGUAAAAUGCCUCCUUGACGUGGAGGAGUCCGCAGUUCAAUUCUGCGUGGGGCCA
rnacentral:tRNA from 1 species